rnacentral:rRNA from 1 species
CUACGGGUUGCAGCAGUGGGGAAUAUUGCACAAUGGAGGAAACUCUGAUGCGGCAACGCCGCGUGGAGGAUGACACUUUUCGGAGCGUAAACUCCUUUUAUAUAGGAAGAAGAUGACGGUACUAUAUGAAUAAGCGCCGGCUAACUCCGUGCCAGCAGCCGCGGUAAUACGGAGGGCGCAAGCGUUACUCGGAAUCACUGGGCGUAAAGAGCGUGUAGGCGGAUUAAAAAGUCAGAAGUGAAAUCCUAUAGCUUAACUAUAGAACUGCUUCUGAAACUCUUAAUCUAGAAUGUGGGAGAGGUAGAUGGAAUUUCUGGUGUAAGGGUAAAAUCCGUAGAGAUCAGAAGGAAUACCGAUUGCGAAGGCGAUCUACUAGAACAUUAUUGACGCUGAGACGCGAAAGCGUGGGGAGCAAACAGGAUUAGAUACCCUCGUAGUC